GACGGACGCUGGCGGCGUGCCUAAUACAUGCAAGUCGAACGCUUCUUUCCUCCCGAGUGCUUGCACUCAAUUGGAAAGAGGAGUGGCGGACGGGUGAGUAACACGUGGGUAACCUACCCAUCAGAGGGGGAUAACACUUGGAAACAGGUGCUAAUACCGCAUCACAGUUUAUGCCGCAUGGCAUAAGAGUGAAAGGCGCUUUCGGGUGUCGCUGAUGGAGGGACCCGCGGUACAUUAGCUAGUUGGUGAGGUAACGGCUCACCAAGGCCACGAUGCAUAGCCGACCUGAGAGGGUGAUCGGCCACACUGGGACUGAGACACGGCCCAGACUCCUACGGGAGGCAGCAGUAGGGAAUCUUCGGCAAUGGACGGAAGUCUGACCGAGCAACGCCGCGUGAGUGAAGAAGGUUUUCGGAUCGUAAAACUCUGUUGUUAGAGAAGAACAAGGACGUUAGUAACUGAACGUCCCCUGACGGUAUCUAACCAGAAAGCCACGGCUAACUACGUGCCAGCCGCCGCCGUAA
rnacentral:rRNA from 1 species